UACAGAGGUCUCAAGCGUUGUUCGGAUUCAUUGGGCGUAAAGGGCGCGUAGGCUGCGGGGCAAGUCGGGUGUGAAAUCUCAGAGCUCAACUCUGAAACUGCACUCGAUACUGCUUUACUUGAGGACUGGAGAGGAGAUUGGAAUUCACGGUGUAGCAGUGAAAUGCGCAGAUAUCAGGAGGAACACCGGUGGCGAAGGCGGGUCUCUGGGCCGAUACUGACGCUGAGGCACGAAAGCUAGGGUAGCAAACGGG
rnacentral:rRNA from 1 species